ensembl:lncRNA
GGCUGUUGCGCCAGGCAUUUCUUUGUGUUGGGGUAGGUCCCAAUGGAUCCUCCCCUGGUUGGCUUUUUCACCUGCUUUGUUUUGAAUUUGGCUUUUCAGGAGGCAGUUGUGCGUGCUAUUUCCGUGGAAUGCUUCAAGUUUUCUUUCUUUCGUUUAUCUUUGGCUGUGCUUUGCUAUGCUGCGCCAAGCUGUCCGAUGGGCCUUUUCUCUCUGUGUUGUUUUCCUUUGCUUUGUAGCCUUUUUCUUUCCUAUCUUUCUAAUUGGUUUUGCCUUGCCUUGCUUUGCUUUGCUGUGUUCCUUUCCUUUCUUUGCAUUUGCAGAUGACUUUUCUCUGCUGCUCCUCUGGCUCGGCUUUUGCAUUGUUUGUUUUUCAUUGCUGUUGCUUCUUUACCGCGCGGUUCCUUUCUUUGCAUGCCUUGCAUGCCUUGCUUGGUGGAUUCCUUUUCUCUUCCUUUGAAAUGGAUUUUCUUUGCUUUCCAUGGCUUUCCUCUCCUUUUCCUUUCUUUUCACGCUCCUUUUCCCUCCCUUCCUUUCGCUUCCUUGGCGCCAUGCCCUUCCCUUUCCUUUGAGCUUACCUUCGCUUCCCUGACGUGAUCUCUCUUGAUUGUUUCUCUCUCUCUUCUUUUCCGACGUGUUUAACUCAAGCCUCGUCUCUGCGCUUUCCUCCAGUGUAGGAAAUCAGCGGGAGAAAUGCGACGGCCAUAGUAGAUAAUCAGCAAAUCUCGUUUAUUGUUUCAGCUGCAUGUACAUUUAUAGUGUGGAUAAUAGGCUCAUACAUACUGCUAAAGUGGAGCUCAGGAUUGGCUCGCUAGUCAGUGUCAACUACGCCUAACUUUGUGCUCUGUGGUUAUCUCACAGCAAACACUCUCUUACAGACUUCUCAAAACACUGUUGCCGGCUUACUCCAUUGGCAUCCUGUUUUGUUCCUAGUUCUCAUACCUGACCUUGCACGUAACAAGGUUGCUUAACCAGCUGCACAGUGUCUGCAUGGCUUUUCUCAGUCAGCCAGUCAUCAGUAAAUCUCUCCACACUCCAGUGCCUGCUGGAUUUGCAGGUGCUUCUCAAUUGCAGGGAUGGGUUCCUGCCUCCUGGGUGUCCUUGCUUCUUCCCUGGGGGUGGUUUUCAGGCUGUUCAUCUGAUGGCUGGGUAGAUCCAUGCCCGGUAGCUACCCUUUCCUCCUCCUUGGCAUGACCUGGAGGGCUUUCCGUCAUCCAGAGAGAUGCUUGUUCUGGCUAGCAGCCCCAGACUGCUUUGGGGUAGGUAGCGGAGAAGUUGCAUCUCUCGUGGACGUAGCAGCAUGCCCAGUAGCUACCCUGUCCUCCUCCCGGGCAUGGAUGCUCGACUUUUGUUCUUGUCCGGUGUCAGCUGUCAUGCUGGACAGCAGGCCUGGACUCCUCCAGGCUGGCUGCCCGACCUUUCUUUUGGCGUUGGCAGCUCGGUCUGUUCCUGGUGGGUUCUCUUGCUUCCCCAUGGCCGGGAUUUCUUUUCUUUUUCUGUCCCCGGACGCAGCUGCAGUCAUGUCUUCUGUCCCGUUUCCCACACAAGAGGUAAUCCUGAAUGUGUUCUGUUGGAAUCCUUACUGCUGUUCCCAGUGGUCAGUGUUGUUUGCUAGAUGUUGU